GAUGAACGCUGGCGGCGUGCCUAAUACAUGCAAGUCGAGCGAACGGACGAGAAGCUUGCUUCUCUGAUGUUAGCGGCGGACGGGUGAGUAACACGUGGAUAACCUACCUAUAAGACUGGGAUAACUUCGGGAAACCGGAGCUAAUACCGGAUAAUAUUUUGAACCGCAUGGUUCAGAAGUGAAAGACGGUCUUGCUGUCACUUAUAGAUGGAUCCGCGCUGCAUUAGCUAGUUGGUAAGGUAACGGCUUACCAAGGCAACGAUGCAUAGCCGACCUGAGAGGGUGAUCGGCCACACUGGAACUGAGACACGGUCCAGACUCCUACGGGAGGCAGCAGUAGGGAAUCUUCCGCAAUGGGCGAAAGCCUGACGGAGCAACGCCGCGUGAGUGAUGAAGGUCUUCGGAUCGUAAAACUCUGUUAUUAGGGAAGAACAUAUGUGUAAGUAACUGUGCACAUCUUGACGGUACCUAAUCAGAAAGCCACGGCUAACUACGU
rnacentral:rRNA from 1 species